CCUACGGGCGGCAGCAGUGAGGAAUAUUGGUCAAUGGACGAGAGUCUGAACCAGCCACGUAGCGUGAAGGAUGACUGCCCUAUGGGUUGUAAACUUCUUUUAUAGAGGAGUAAAACGAGGCACGUGUGCCUUUUUGCAUGUACUUUAUGAAUAAAGAUCGGGUAACUCCGUGCCAGCAGCCGCGGUAAUACGGAGGAUCCGAGCGUUAUCCGGAAUUAUUGGGUUUAAAGGGAGCGUAGAUGGGUUGUUAAGUCAGUUGUGAAAGUUUGCGGCUCAACCGUAAAAUUGCAAUUGAUACUGGCAGUCUGGAGUACAGUUGAGGUAGGCGGAAUUCGUGGUGUAGCGGUGAAAUGCUUAGAUAUCACGAAGAACCCCGAUUGCGAAGGCAGCUUACUAAACUGUGACUGACAUUGAUGCUCGAAAGCGUGGGUAUCAAACAGGAUUAGAUACCCUGGUAGUC
rnacentral:rRNA from 1 species